CAGGCUAUGGGAUCCAACCCACACUGUAGAAAAGGUCAAAGUGUCGGCCAUCUUCCUUGAUUGAGUUUGUUUCGUGGUGGAGACAGGCCAACAGAAUUUGAGGUUUGGAUCACAUGUCCAGCAGAUGCUAAUCUAUAGAACAUAAAACAUCUAAAAAGUGUGACUCUGCAAAGUCAUUCUGAUUUAUGGAGGUGUCAGGCGGGUGGCUCCAGACAUCAUCUCACGAAACGGGCCCCUGAAUGUCAUCAUUUCAUCCUCCCAGUUCCAGAACAAAUGCCCCUCUGUGACAGCUCCUGAGCUAUUGAUGUGAGAUCACUUUAGAAUCCCUUGACGUGGCGCCCGUUUUGUUUUAUUUUUGGGACAUUUGUUCCUCUUUGUGUCAAGCUAAAAAUAUUUCUCCGUCAUUGAAAAUUAAACCACUGAGAUGCACUUUAUCAAAGAGAUUGA